rnacentral:tRNA from 1 species
GGCACUGUGGCUUAUUUGGUUAAAGUGCCUGUCUCGUAAGCAGGAGAUUCUGGGUUCAAAUCCCAGCGGUGCCU